AGUUCCAGCUACUUGGGAAGCUGAGACAGGAUAUCUGCUUGAGCCCAGGAGUUCGUGGCUGCAGAGAGCUGUGAUCACACCACCGCACUCCAGCCAGGGCAACAGAGUGAGACCCUGACUCCAAAAGCAAAAACAAAAGAGCAAAAACGAGAUUCCAAUGUAUACUCCCACCAAUUAAUUUGAAGGUGACCAUAUCCCUCCUAUCAAAUACUGUCACUCAUUUACAUCUUUGCCAAAUGUGGGAAAACAUAAAGUUUGGCAACCCUAUAUUGACUCCACCAUGCCUUGGGAAAGGCAGCCCGCAUCAGUGGCAGGAAAUAUUGGUGGAGCGAGCUGGGACUUGCAGGUGACCAAGAAGGGGGAUCCCGGAACCGGAAUUGUCUCCCUUGGCGUUCCGGAAGUAGAAGCAGAGUCAUUGCUGGGUGGCGCCAGCCCUCAGACUUGCCUCUUUGCAGUAGGAAGAAGGCCUCCCCACAUACCUUCCCACACUCAUCACCUUAAGCCAGACUCGGUGUCCAGUGAAUAUGACCAUCUCUUGCCCAUUUUCUAAUGAGUGUUUUCAUUAAUGAGUUAUAAGAAUGUGGUGGGUAAAUCUAUGGGCUUUGAACUAGUGAAUCAACUUGGUUUCAGAAUCUGGCACUGCUACUUACUAGUGAAUUUAAGCAAGUUAUUUCACCUUUCAGAGUGUCAGUUCCCUCAUGCAUACAAGGAAGAUAAAAAAUAAUGUAUACAAAAGUAUUGGAGUAAUUAAUACAUGGAGAACUACAUGUAAAGCGUUUAGCAUGAUGUCUG
rnacentral:lncRNA from 1 species